rnacentral:pre_miRNA from 1 species
UUACUCCCUCCUUGGUUCCGAAUUACUUAUUUUAGAUUUGUCUAGAUAGAGAUGUAUCUAAACACGUUUUAGUGUUAGAUACAUCUGUAUGUAAAAAGAAUCUAAGACAAGUAAUUUGGGAUGAAGGUGAUACAUG